CCCAGGUCAGCCUACUUAAUCUUGCUGAUAUUCCAGUUUUUCAUCAGGAACAAGGCUGAUCAUAAUACUACCUUGAAGGAUUGCUGUGAGGACUAGCUAGAGGGAUUGUGUGAGAGUCCCUUGCCCAAUGUCUGGAACACAGUAGAGAUGGAGCAAAGAAACCGUCAUACUCCAAAUGGUGGUGUUUAACCUCAAGUUUGUUUUAAAUAUACCUGCCUGACUCUGACCAGAGAUCAAAGUGAACAUCACAAAUAACGGGACAAAUUGACAUUAUGUGUCUUCUGAUAUGACGCUCUGAGAGGAACACAGCACCAUAAGGUGGUAUCUGUGAUAUCUCUGGCCAACCAUAAGGAAACAAUUACACAAACCCAAACUGAGAAGCCUGCAAAAUAACUGGCAUGAAAUCUUCAAAAAUAUUGAGAUCAUGAAAGGUAAACUGGCCUCAAAAAAGUGGAUAAUAUUCUAACAUGGGAAUGCAAAACCAUCAUGCCUGGAAGAUCACUGCAUCAAGG
rnacentral:lncRNA from 1 species